UACGGGGGGGGCAAGCGUUUGUUCGGAAUUACUGGGCGUAAAGGGCGCGUAGGCGGCUCGCUAAGUCGGAUGUGAAAACUCUGGGCUCAACCCAGAGCCUGCAUUCGAAACUGACGAGCUGGAGUUCUGGAGGGGAAAGCGGAAUUCCUGGUGUAGCGGUGAAAUGCGUAGAUAUCAGGAGGAACACCGGUGGCGAAGGCGGCUUUCUGGACAGAAACUGACGCUGAUGCGCGAAAGCUAGGGGAGCAAACAGG
rnacentral:rRNA from 1 species